CUAUAAGACUAGUUAAUAGAGGGGAGUAAAAGGCAGUUUUAGUGAGGAGGCAUACCUGGUGAGGACUGAAGGGGGGAAUAACCCAUCUCACCCUCCUUCUACUUUCUGGGGCAUAUAACAGCAACUCCUUAUAUCCCUUGUCCUAAACUUGAGUUGGGGGGAAGACUCUAUUCUUUCUCCCUUCUUCCAUUACACCCAAACCAACCCUCUGACACAAGUGGCACCCCAGAGGAAAAUCCACCAUUACCAACUAUCACAAACUGACAGUUGGAACUCUUAGGGCAAGAUAGCCAUCUUGAGUGACACUGCCUAAGAGUUAAUACACAGGAUCAAGAACAAACAUCAUUCAAGUUCUUGGAUUAGACCUCUAUCACACAAGAGAAUAUAUAACUGGAAAAGGAAGAUGUUGGGCUGCAUUGACUUCUCCCACAAAUGGCUAUUUCAAUAAUCCAGUGUGUGCCAAGUGUAAAACACUCCAGAGAAGGGAGAGUGAGUAUCCAGUAAGAGAGCAUGAGCAUCCUGUGUCCCCUCUCUUAUAAAGCUAGUUUUUGCCACUCC